CAUCAAAUAAUUAAAAGAACAAGUAUGACAUUGCAUUUCUAUUGAAAUAAGAUGCAACAAACAUUGACAUGGGUAUCCUCUAAAACUGGGUUGGGGAACUUCCGGCCUCCGGCCCGUGUACGGCCUAUGAGACCAUCUGAUCCGUCCAGACACGCUGUUCUAAAAAUAAAUAUAUAAACUCGGGGGGAAAAAUGUCGACAGCAGUGACUUUUCUGGGAUAAUACUGAGGGCUAUACAUGUCCGAGUCAGGUUCAGGGUCAGUGAACACAACACGUGAGGUUACGUGCCAUCGCGCGAUAACAUUGGGGUUUGAUUGACAAGUGAUAUGCAUCAUGGCGAGUGCCAAGACCAGGAAGGUGGAUGCUGAAUGCCGCUUUUUUUUCAGGAGAAAUGGACAAACGACUAUUUUUUGACUAAGUAAAAGGCAGUUUGUGGCGUGGGGCGUGCAGAGACGAAAAAGGCCAAUCUCGAGCGUCGUUACAGCGGGAAACCUGCUAAACUGGAGGAGUUGAGGACAAAUGCGUUUUGAUAAAAUUAACGCUCUUUGUGGGAGUUGGGUUUCCCAACAUUCAGCUGUCAGAAGACCACAGACCGACAGAGACAAUGUUAGGAGGACAAGUUUUGUGUUCAAUGUUCUGCUGGUAAACUUUGGGUCCUACCAUUCCUGUAGAUGUCAACUGACACGCACCACCCACCCAAAUACUGUUGCGGACCAAGUUCACGCCAUCAUGGAAUCUCCCCGAGACUCCAGCCAACAAACAACUGCCGCACAUGAUCAGGCCCAGCACCACUCCC